rnacentral:rRNA from 1 species
GACGAACGCUGGCGGCGUGCCUAAUACAUGCAAGUAGAACGCACAGUUUAUACCGUAGCUUGCUACACCAUAGACUGUGAGUUGCGAACGGGUGAGUAACGCGUAGGUAACCUGCCUGGUAGCGGGGGAUAACUAUUGGUAACGAUAGCUAAUACCGCAUAAUAUUGAUUAUUGCAUGAUAAUUAAUUGAAAGGUGCAAUUGCACCACUACCAGAUGGACCUGCGUUGUAUUAGCUAGUAGGUGAGGUAACGGCUCACCUAGGCGACGAUACAUAGCCGACCUGAGAGGGUGAUCGGCCACACUGGGACUGAGACACGGCCCAGACUCCUACGGGAGGCAGCAGUAGGGAAUCUUCGGCAAUGGACGAAAGUCUGACCGAGCAACGCCGCGUGAGUGAAGAAGGUUUUCGGAUCGUAAAGCUCUGUUGUAAGAGAAGAACGGGUGUGAGAGUGGAAAGUUCACACUGUGACGGUAUCUUACCAGAAAGGGACGGCUAACUACGUG